GCGUGAAUGAAGAAGGCCUUAGGGUUGUAAAGUUCUUUCACCCGCGAAGAUGAUGACGGUAGCGGGAGAAGAAGCCCCGGCUAACUCCGUGCCAGCAGCCGCGGUAAUACGGAGGGGGCAAGCGUUGUUCGGAAUUACUGGGCGUAAAGGGCGCGUAGGCGGAACAGUUAGUCAGGUGUGAAAUCCCCGAGCUCAACUUGGGAACUGCACUUGAUACUGCUGUUCUAGAAUCCGGGAGAGGAGAGUGGAAUUCCCAGUGUAGAGGUGAAAUUCGU
rnacentral:rRNA from 1 species